AAAUAAAAUUCUUUAUGGUUUAGUAAUUUAUUAUAAAUUUAUUUUACAUAUAAAUUUUAGUGUUAAAUAUUAAUUAUUUAAAUAAUAAUUAUUUAUUUUGUAGUAAUUAAUAUUAAAAUAUUUAAGAAAUUAAGAUUUAGUAAUAUUUAAAUUAAUAACAAAUUUUGUGCCAGCAGUUGCGGUUAAACAAAAAUUAAAUUAAAUUUUAUUAGUAAUUAAUUAAUAAAUAUUUUUAUAAUAAAAAUUUUAAAUUAUUAGGUGAAAUUUUAAUUUAAUUAAAUUUUAUAUUUAAAUUUAUGAUUUAAUAAAUUUUAAAAAAAACUAGGAUUAGAUACCCUAUUAUUAAAAUUUAAAUUUAUAAUACUAAAAUAGUAAUUAAUUAUUUAUUGAAACUUAAAUAAUUUGGCGGUAUUUUAGUUCAUUUAGAGGAAUCUGUUUAAUAAUUGAUAAUCCACGAAUAAAUUUACUUAAUUUAAUAUUUUGUAUAUCGUUGUUAAAAAAAUAUUUUUAAAAAAAAUUAAUAUUUAAAAAUUUUGAAUUAAUUUAAAUCAGAUCAAGAUGCAGAUUAUAAUUAAGAAUAUAAUGGAUUACAAUAAAUUUAUUUAUACCAAUAUUAAUUUGUAAUAAUUAAUUGAGGGUGGAUUUAAAUGUAAUUUUAUUUAAUUUAUUAAAAUGAUUAAAAAUUAAAAUAUGUACAUAUUGCCCGUCACUUUCAUAUAAUUAUAAUUUAAUUAUAAUAAAUUGAAAUAAGUCGUAACAAAGUAGAGGUACUGGAAAGUGUUUCUAGAAAGAA
rnacentral:ncRNA from 1 species